UACGUAUGUUCCAAGCGUUAUCCGGAUUUAUUGGGCGUAAAGCGAGCGCAGACGGUUUUUUAAGUCCGAAGUGAAAGCCCACAGCUUAACUGUGGAAGUGCUUUGGAAACUGGAUGACUUGAGUGCAGUAGAGGAGAGUGGAAUUCCAUGUGUAGCGGUGAAAUGCGUAGAUAUAUGGAGGAACACCAGUGGCGAAGGCGGCUCUCUGGACUGUAACUGACGUUGAGGCUCGAAAGUGUGGGUAGCAAAC
rnacentral:rRNA from 1 species